rnacentral:rRNA from 1 species
UACGGAGGGUGCAAGCGUUAUCCGGAUUUAUUGGGUUUAAAGGGUCCGUAGGCGGAUCGUUAAGUCAGCGGUGAAAUCUUCCGGCUCAACCGGGAAACUGCCGUUGAUACUGUCGAUCUUGAGUACAAGUGAAGUUGGCGGAAUGUGUGGUGUAGCGGUGAAAUGCUUAGAUAUCACACAGAACACCUAUUGCGAAGGCAGCUGACUAACUCGUAACUGACGCUGAGGGACGAAAGUGUGGGGAUCAAACAGG